CAGAUGCUUAACUGACCGAGCCACCCAGAAAAGCUCUUUCUAAACAGGACAUCAAAAACUGAAACUAUAAAGGAGUGAGACAUCUGGCUGGCAUUUGCACAAGAAUGUGGGGCCAAGGUGAAGAGGAUCUGAGGAGGCAAGGACGUCUCAAGCCACAAAGGGCCUUCACAAGGCAUGUGACUGACAUCUCAUGACAUGGUACAGAUCCGAAGCAGCUAACAACACCUCUGUCCUAACAUUUCAUUAAAAGACAAGGAAUAGUGUGGA